ACUUCCGGUCCUCUGCAGCCGUUCUGUCAAUGAAGCUCCUCUCUGCCUUGCUCACCCUCCACUUGUCCGUGUACCUCAUUCUUGUCGUGGAACAAGACCCUGGGACCCAGUGAAUGGUGGGACUGAAAGAGCGGUAACACAAACAGGGCUGAAACAUGCCCACCGCUCGCCACUUUGUGGGCGACGAGGAGAAACGAACUGCUGUGGCCCUUCAGGAAUCCCAGACCUAGAGACUCCUGAGCCAGGGCUGUGACACCCUCUUUGGGGCUCCGCAGUUUCUGGUGUCUCCAAGCUUCCGGGUGCCAUCGUAUUUCCCAGUGCCUGCAGUGGAAGCCAUUUGUGGUAACGCCUGGUCCAGCCAGUCUCACACGGAACCCACGCCUGUGCUGGCGCCUGGAGCUGCCUGCCCAGUGGCAGCAAGCACGCAUGGCUGUGUGCAGUGGCCAGACCCCAUGCUUAUUAACACACCCCUUGCUACUCCUCACCAGGCUCGCCCUUGGCAGGUGUGGGAUCCAGGUCAGUAUUAUGAGCCAAAUACAGCCUGCUGGGGCGAGUGAGCAGAAGAGGCCAGCGGGCCCGUGUAAAACUCAGGCAAAGGCACCACCAGCCGCAGAGGUUUCCAACUGAAAAAGUGACACGGUUUGAUCUUCGCAGUGGCCUGUGGCUAAGACUGAUAUUAAAGGAAGAAUUAAAAUCCUGAAUCAAUCAUGAACUUUAAAGUUAAGAUGAAUUCAAGGAUAUCAAACUUGACUGCAUAAGAGAGUAUCAUGUUUGGAGAGAAGAAAUAAUUUUAUUGCGAGACACAAAGUGGUGUCUGUCACUUAAAUCCUUCACCAAUCUACCUCCUGUACUCGUGGAAAAAAAGGAAUCAG